AUACUACUCCCUCCGUCCGGAAAUACUUGUCGGAGAAAUGCAUAAAAAUGGAUGUAUGUAGAACUAAAAUAUGUCUAGAUACAUCCAUUUCUUCGACAAGUAUUUUCGGACGGAGGGAUUACUUA
rnacentral:pre_miRNA from 1 species